CAGUCGCCGCGGGAAUACCAGCAGCCCAAGUGGUGGUCGCGAUUAUUGGGCCUAAAGCGCUCGUAGCCGGGCCGGUAAGUCCCUUGUGAAAUCGGACGGCCUAACCGUUCGGCGUGCAAGGGAUACUGUCGGUCUUGAGGCCGGGAGACGUCCGAGGUACUCCGGGGGUAGCGGUGAAAUGUUCUGAUCCUCGGGGGACCACCGGUGGCGAAGGCGUUCGACGAGAACGGGCCUGACGGUGAGGGGCGAAGGCUAGGGGAGCAAACGGGAUUAGAGACCCGAGUAGUCCCUGUCUCUUAUA
rnacentral:rRNA from 1 species